rnacentral:rRNA from 1 species
CUGCAACUCGACUGCAUGAAGCUGGAAUCGCUAGUAAUCGCGGAUCAGAAUGCCGCGGUGAAUACGUUCCCGGGUCUUGUACACACCGCCCGUCACACCAUGGGAGUCAGUAACGCCCGAAGUCAGUGACCGAACCGAGAGGACGGAGCUGCCGAAGGCGGGACGGAUAACUGGGGUGAAGUCGUAACAAGGUAGC